rnacentral:tRNA from 1 species
GGUAAGAUGACUGAAAUAAGUGGCGGAUUGUAACCCCGUAGAUGGAGGUUAUAGUCCUCCUCUUAUCA